CACCCACCUGCCCAGGGCUCACUCCAGGGGCCUGGCAUCCAACUUCCUGCCAACCAGCUGCUUCCUCCUAUCCAACCCACACACUGUGAAACAAACGACAUGAGCUGGACUUUAGACAGAAACCCUGCUUAUCAGGGAGUCCCAGGCAGAUGAACUCUGAGUCUUCAGCGCCUGGAAAACCCCAGGAUACAUCCACUCACACUGCCUUCCACAACCCCCUCACAACGCGGAAACCUCUUCCAUAACUACAUUUGACGAGUGGUGAUCCAGCAGCUCCACCUCAAGCCAAAAUUAGGCUGGAGACCCCAGACAAGCCCAGAUCACAAAGAAACUGAAGAGAAACAGCAGGAGGCGAAAGUGUCCUGGAGCUAGGAAAAGACAAAGGUUCUGGAAUUCCACUACCACAAAUUUCCUAGUUUCGGCUACUGCCAGUCACCGGUUUCGAGGGAACAGCUCUUUCCUGGGAGUAAAUUCAGCUGGGAGAGGGAGGGGAGGAGGAGUGACUCACCAAUCUACAGUUUCGAGGUAUGUCUAACCCUGAAUGGCAAAGCUAGAAGGGCUCGAGUUGGAAACAUCAGCAGGAAACACCACGACUCAGGCUCACAGGCCGCAGUUCCUCCCUCCUGGAAUGCCUCAGUGGGGACACUACAGGGGUGGGGGGCAAACACCAGGGUUCCAACCUAGGUUCCCCUCUCUCCCCUGUGGUUACCCCAAACAUCAUCCUGACCACACGGCACCCCGCUGAGCGGAAAUGCCUUUCCCUACCUGGGAGGUAGCCGGGAACUUUUCUAAGUACAGGCUCUCUAGAGGGAGGGAGACUGGUACUCUUUUAGACACGAGUUUUGCUUUUCCCAAGCCCAGUGCUCCCUGUGCUUCACCUCCCAUCCCCGCCCGAGCAGGCUCAGGCCUUCCUCUCCGCUAGCUUCCCCAGCCUGCAGUAGGGCCUCUGCUUGACUUGAUCAUGUCUUGCCCUUUCCUCUUCCUCCCUGAUGGCAGAGCCCACAAUGAGCAGCAGCCCUGGAGGGAGGGAGAACACAUGGGAAUCUUGUAUUUGCUUCCGACGUCCCAGGGGCAAAGGACAGAUUAGAUGCCCAAGAAAGAACCCCUGCCAUUUGGAUCUAUCAGGGUCUCCCUGCUUUCUUUGACCUACUCUACGAGGGGCAGCAUUCUUUCAUCCUCAUAAAAUCCAAAGGGGAUAUCAGCUGCCCAAUAACAAAUAAUCCCUUCACAUAUAUGUAAUGUAGCCAUUAGCCCAGUUGAUCCUCAGGACAGGCUUGGGACAAGUAUUAUUACUCCUUUUUACAGAUGAAAACACUGAGCUACUUAGCCUAAGAUCACAAAGAAGGCAGAAAGCCAAGCUAGAACCCUGGGAGGAUGACCUUGCCUCUAGUCCCAUCUUCAUUGUACUAAUCAAAUCACUCCCCCCAGCUCUAGCCUGAUUUAAAUGUGACAAAGUCAGUUCCUCACACCCCCACCCUGCCCCCCUCCAACACCUUACUACCCAGGACCCACUGUCCUGUCAAGCUUACAUAAUAUCAUCUCAGGCUCCCUCUGAACCACUGUUUCUUGAUUCCCUGAACAUCCCCAAGCUCAGAAUGGUGCCAUCACAACGCUGUCAGAGCCAGUAUAUCACUGUGUGAUUAUCACAAUAUAGAAAAUUAGAGGGAGAGAAAAGAAGAGGGAAGGGGAGCAGCACACAGUUCCAGGAAGCUUACAAGCCUGACAAAUACUGUCACAAAUAAAGUCACUGACUCAGAAACUUCUAGGUUUGGGGGGAAAAGUACUAUCACAGUACAAGAGUUGGGAAAGUCUUUAGUACUGAGCCACACAGAACCAAAAAAUGACCAUGAGUGUUAGCAGUUCUAAGAUAAAUGCAGAAGUAAAUAGGUGAGGGUAGGAAAAGAACGAAAAUUGAAAAAAAAAAAAAAAGGAAGGGGAGAAUGGAA